rnacentral:rRNA from 1 species
GUGCACCAGGCGAGAAUCCUUCGCAAUGCGGGAAACCGCGACGAGGGGACUCCCAGUGCCUACGCUCAGCGUAGGCUGUUCCCGAGCCUAGAAAGCUCGGGGAGUAAGGGCUGGGUAAGACGGGUGCCAGCCGCCGCGGUAAUACCCGCAGCCCGAGUGGUGGCCACUAUUAUUGGGCCUAAAGCGUCCGUAGCCGGCCCGGUAAAUGCCUGGGUAAAUCGUGAGGCCUAACCUCACGAAUUCCGGGUAGACUGCCGGGCUAGGGGACCGGAGGAGGGAGAGGGGUACUCCAGGGGUAGGGGUGAAAUCCUGUAAUCCCUGGAGGACCACCGGUGGCGAAGGCGCUCUCCUAGGACGGGUCCGACGGUGAGGGACGAAAGCCAGGGGAGCGAACCGGAUUAGAUACCCGCGUAGU